rnacentral:misc_RNA from 1 species
UGGUUCUGGCAUCGAUGAAGAACGCAGCGAAAUGCGAUAAGUAAUGCGAAUUGCAGAAUUCAGUGAGUCAUCGAAUCUUUGAACGCACAUUGCGCCCCUUGGUAUUCCGGGGGGCAUGCCUGUUCGAGCGUCAUUUAACCCCUCAAGCACAGCUUGGUGUUGGGGCCUGCCUCUAGGCAGCCCUUAAAAUCAGUGGCGGUGCCGUCUGGCUCUGAGCGUAGUAAUUCUUCUCGCUAUAGAGUCCUGGCGGAUGCUUGCCAUAACCCCCAAUUUUCUAUGGUUGACCUCGGAUCAGGUAGGGAUACCCGCUGA